GUCUUUUUGAUUAUAAUUUAAAGUCUAACCUGCCCAAUGAGGAGUUGAAUGGCCGCGGUAAUUUGACCGUGCAAAGGUAGCAUAAUCAUUAGUUUUUUAAUUGAAAGCUGGAAUGAAUGGUUGGACGAGAAAAUAACUGUCUCAAUUUAAUUGUAUAUAGAAUUUUAUUUGUAAGUAAAAAAGCUUACAUAUUUUUAAAAGACGAGAAGACCCUAUAGAGUUUUAUAUUUUACUUUGUAAAUAAAUUUUAGUAUAUUUAUAUUUUUUAUAUGGUAAUAUAUUUUGCUGGGGCAGUAGAAAAAUUUAAUAAACUUUUUUUUUAAUAUUACAUUUAUUUAUGACUUGAUGAUCCAUUAUUUAUGAUUAAAAGAUUAAAUUACCUUAGGGAUAACAGCGUAAUUUUUUUUUAGAGUUCUUAUCGAAAAAAGAGUUUGCGACCUCGAUGUUGGAUUAAAAUUAACUUUUGGUGUAGGGGCUAAAAGGUUAGGUCUGUUCGACCUUUAAAAUUUUACA
rnacentral:rRNA from 1 species